UAUUAAGGCCAAUUUUCAUCUUUUUUAUUUUUUUUAUUUUUUGCAUUCUUUUUCUUUUAGAAAGAAACAGAGUUCUUUUAACUCUCUCCCUCUCCCUUUUCCUUUGGCCAAAGGGCCACGACUGUCCGUCGCACCACCGCACCGCCAUCAAAUCCGGUGACCGGUGAUGCGCAAGAAGGGACCUUUAGCCCUUUUUUGAACAGAUCCGAGGAUGAACCCCUCCAUGCCCGCGAAGAUCGAAAGAAAAAGGCCCACUUUCACUCCUUUCAUGCCCGAUUUCGACCGUGGAAAGAAACUUCCGACGACGGGCCACAAGGUAACUCAGGGUAUGGGUGUGUCAGACGCAUGAAGGGAGCAUAUGCCGGUGGUGGUGCGCGAGGAGACUAUUGGUUGGCCGAGUGUGCUGCUGAAGCUUGAGGGCUACUGCUGUUUUCUCUUCUCUGCAGGGGGCUAGAAUUUGGGCUUUAGGAUUUGUAUUUAAUUGGGUUUGGUCUUUUAGUUUGGGCUGGGCAUAAUUGGGCUUGUACAACUUACUCAUCCAAUUAUUGCGCCUGAUGUACCAACUGCGGGUGCUUUGAAGAACCAGUAACUUGUAGCGGCACCUAGUUUUCUUUGACUGAGUCAAAAUCGUACUUCCAUGUAGGUCCUAUAAGCCAGGACACUGGUGCUCCUCCAAGACGCCACAUAGCUGAAAUUGUAAGUUUAGAUUUUGAACAAUUUCGGAAGUAAAACUCUAACUGUCAGUAUUAACGAAGAA